rnacentral:lncRNA from 1 species
GUGACCUACAGUAGAAGAGUAACAUACUUCCUCCAUAUCUUGUCUUGCAGCUUCAAUCUCCUCUUGGCCAGUGCCCCUGGGCCUCCUUCAUCAUCUGAACAUGGCUCCUGAUACACUGCUCCAACUCCCUGUCUCUGGCCACCCUGAGGUCACAAUGGUCAAGGCGUUUUGUGGAAUGGUGUGUUUACCUGCUGUGGGGGGGGCCUCCCUGGCGACAUCUGACUGCAGGAUGACUGACAGUGCUCCAUCGCUAGCUAGGCCUGUCGCUAUCUCCAACCUGGACAGCUUCAGCUUAGUGUCUGCACAGCCUGCACAGCCAUCUUUUUCAACGUCUGCUCACCCAGAAUGGAAACAAGGACUCAAGCUGGCGUUAUGUUGACCUCUUCUGGUUGAGAAGUGCACUUCAGCCAGUCUUCUCUCCUCUGACCUCUUCCAGUACUGCAUGUCAAACGGAGGGACCUCUGGAAAUAUAUUUCCACUGGUAAUCUCUUUCUUUCUGACAAAUAAAUGAAUCGAAAGAAAAUGUUUUAUUUUUAUUGCUCUCAGAAGGACCGUGUCCCUGCAGAGCCUGGGCGAAUUUAUCGCUAGGCCUUCUCCUCAAAGACUGUCAUAAAAAUACUCGUACACUGUCCAUGCUGUAUUUUCCAUCUCAAUAGCCUAUUAGUCUAGAAUGGCUCCCUCUCAUUGUCUCCUUUCCUAAACUGCAUUGAAUUCCACAGAGAAGGCAUCCAACAUAUUGCUUUCACCUAUCAUUGCUUUCCUCGUAACCCAUACUGACCACUGCACUGAGCAUAGUGUUCAAUCUGGUUAACCAGUUCAGGAGAGGACACUGAGUCCUCCCCCUAGAUCUGCAGUUACCAG